CGGCUGCAGAAACCCGUGAGUGACCAACUGACCAGUGAAUGACCACUGACCAACUGACCACUGAGUGACCACUGAGUGACCAACUGACCACUGACCACUGACCAACUGAGUGACCACUGAGUGACCACUGACCACUGAGUGACCAAUGAGUGACCAACUGACCACUGAGUGACCAACUGACCACUGACCACUGAGUGACCAAUGAGUGACCAACUAACCACUGAGUGACCAACUGACCAACUGACCAGUGACCACUGAGUGACCACUGAGUGACCAACUGACCACUGAGUGACCAACUGACCAACUGACCAACUGACCAAUGAGUGACCACUGAGUGACCAACUGACCAACUGACCACUGACCAACUGACCACUGAGUGACCAACUGACCAACUGACCACUGACCAGUGACCACUGAGUGACCAACUGACCACUGAGUGACCAACUGACAAGUGAAUGACCACUGAGUGACCAACUGACCACUGACCGCUGAGUGACCACUGAGUGACCAAUGAGUGACCACUGAGUGACCAACUGACCAACUGACCACUGACCACUGAGUGACCAAUGAGUGACCAACUGACCACUGAGUGACCACUGAGUGACCAAUGAGUGACCAACUGACCACUGAGUGACCACUGACCACUGAGUGACCACUGAGUGACCAACUGACCAACUGACCACUGACCACUGACCAAUGUGUGACCAGUGAGUGACCAAUGAGUGACCAACUGACCACUGAGUGACCACUGAGUGACCAAUGAGUGACCAACUGACCACUGAGUGACCAACUGACCACUGAGUGACCAACUGACCAACUGACCAACUGACCACUGAGUGACCACUGAGUGACCACUGACCAACUGUCCACUGAGUGACCAACUGACCACUGAGUGACCAAUGAGUGAUCCCGGCCAUGCGGGAUCCCCUGAGUGACACCGCGCUGAGCGACGGAGACGUCAUCGAGCUGCAGAGGGGCGGGACCGGCUUCGCCGGGGCCGGAGUUUCCCUGGAGGCCAAAAAAUCCCGUCCGGUGAUGCAGGCCUAGGGGGGACCCCAAAAUCCCCCCUGGGACCCCAAAAUCCCCCCCAAAACCCCAAAUUCCCGUUCAUCCCCCCCAAAUUCCCGUUCAUCCCCCCCAAAACCCCUUUCAUUCCACCCAAAACCCCUUUAAUCCCCCCCAAAAUCCCAUUAAAAAUCCCAUUAAUCCCCCCCAAAAUCCCAUUGAUCCCCCCCAAAAUCCCAUUGAUUCCCCCCAAAUUCCCUUUAAUUCCACCCAAACCCCCUUUAAUUCUACCCAAAAUCCCAUUAACCCGCCCCAAAAUCCCGUUAAUUCCCCCCCAAAACCCUUUAAUUCCACCCAAAAUCCCAUUAAUCCCCCCCAAAUUCUCAUUAAUCCCCCCCAAAAUCCCAUUAAAAAUCCCAUUAAUCCCCCCCAAAAUCCCAUUAAUCCCCCUCAAAUUCCCAUUAAUCCCCCCCAAACCCCACUUCCCCAUCCAAAUAAACUCGUUUCACCCCAAAAUUUCUUUUUUUCCGCUCCUUGAACCCCCAAAACCUUUUGGGGCGCCCCAAAAACCUUUUGGGGUUUGUGGCUCCAUCGCCCUUUUAAUUCCCCCCCCCGUGGGCCCCACCCGCGCAUCGCCGCUUUAAGCCACGCCCCCUCCCGCGCCUCAACCAAUCAGCGCUCAGCACACGGCAUCGCUUUAUUUGCAUAGUGGGCGCGGCCUCAGCGGGCGUCACCCAAUCAGCUUUGGAGAAAAAUAAAGGGGCGGGGCCUCCGCGAAGCCACGCCCAUCUCUGGUAAAAAGGGGCGGAGCCAAAUUCGGGGCUGUCAGUCAAAGCCCGACUAGCCACGCCCCCUUUAAAAGGCCACGCCCCCUUUUUGGGGGGGGGGAAAUCCCCAAAAUUUCUGUGCGGGGGGGGGGGGGGAGGGACCCCCCCAAAAUAAGACACUCGGUGGGGGAGGGGCAACCCCCAAAUUUUGGGGGAUCCCAACACUCGAACCCCCCAAAUUUUGGGGAA
ensembl:lncRNA